GACAGAGGCCUCAAGCGUUAGGCGGAAUCACUGGGCUUAAAGCGUGUGUAGGCGGAUCGUUAAGUGCCUUGUGAAAUCCCACGGCUUAACUGUGGAACGGCUGGGCAUACUGGCGGUCUUGAGCCAUCUAGGGGCGACUGGAACAAACGGUGGAGCGGUGAAAUGCGUAGAUAUCGUUUGGAACGCCAAUGGUGAAAACAGGUCGCUGGGGUUGUGCCGACGCUGAGACACGAAAGCCAGGGGAGCAAACGGG
rnacentral:rRNA from 1 species